rnacentral:rRNA from 1 species
AUUGAACGCUGGCGGUAGGCCUAACACAUGCAAGUCGAACGGCAGCACAUUAAGAGCUUGCUCUUACGGGUGGCGAGUGGCGGACGGGUGAUGAAUACAUCGGAAUCUACUUUUUCGUGGGGGAUAACGUAGGGAAACUUACGCUAAUACCGCAUACGACCUACGUGUGAAAGCAGGGGAUCUUCGGACCUUGCGCGAUUGAAUGAGCCGAUGUCGGAUUAGCUAGUUGGCGGGGUAAAGGCACACCAAGUCGACGAUCCGUAGCUGGUCUGAGAGGAUGAAAAGCCACAGUGGAAGGAAGACAGGGUAAAGCCACCUACGGGAGGCAGCAGUGGGAAAUUUUGAACAAGGGGCGCAAGCCUAACAAACCAAGACCGGGGGGAGAAAGAAGGCGUUGGGGUUGGAAAGCUUUUUUAUUGGGAAAGAAAAGCAGGAGUUUAAUCCCCUGUUGUUGUGACGGCACCAAAAGAAUAGGCAAGGGCUAACUUCGGG